rnacentral:lncRNA from 1 species
GGUGUUAUUCUGUAUAUUAGUACAUUGAACACCAAUAAAAAAUAAAUUAAAAAAAAAAAAAGAAUGAGUUCUGGGGUCAAAAAACAUGGUGAGUUAAAAUCAUGACACUUCUGCUGAUUGUUCUGGUACUUUCAACUCUGUAGACCUCUGUGGUUUCUCUGUAAAAUCAGGACCCUUGGACUUAAUACUUAAUUUAUGUAUUCUUGUGAAAAUUAAAGUGAGCUUGUGUAUGCGAUGACCCCCGACCAAUAUGAAAAUAUAUUUGUAUGGAACACAGGCUUCCAGUAAGUUGGUGUUAUUACAAUAAUUAUAACCUUGGAUGUUCUUGCACAGUUUUACCCCUCAAUAGGAUUUGUGAGAUCUUCAUGAGUCAUGCUAGUUCAUUUUGUUUGGCUCUUUUGUCCAAUUUCCUUUUUCCUAUUGCAGUGGUUUUCAAGCCCAACGAGCUUCAGAUUCCCCUAUAGCACUUGUUAAAGGACAGCUCCUGAAUCUUUCUGGGAUCCCAACCCCAGAGUUUCUGGUUCAGCAGGUCUAGGAUGGGAGCUGGGAACUUGCAUGUCUGACAGAUUCCUGAGUGAUGCUCCUGCAGCUGGUCAGGGGGACCUCUUUGAGAACCACUGCUAUACUGUGACCCAGAGGGGAGGAGAGGGGCUUCUGGGUGAUUACUGACUUUGGAUCUGAAACAUCCACACCUUGAGAGGAUGGCAGGCUGCAGACCCAAUGGUUAGAGGAAGCUACUGCCAAGUGAAACUUCAGAGCCAGCCACACCUCUGCCAACUAUUUAGGCUCUGAGUCAAAGUUCAGGACAGCCAUGGGAAAUGUGGUUUUUAGCAGCAUCGCUGAAACCUAAAACUGCCCAAUUUUAAAUGUCAAAAGCCUACAUCAAGCACUGGCUCUGCUUCUUUUCUUCUGGAGGAGUCUCUGCUAUUCUGUAUGUGAAAGUUUCAGCUGCUAUAGUACAUGGGGCUUGGCAGGGAGGGACAUUCCACAAUAAUGAGAUGACUGUGUCCUAGAGGGCUUGACAAUGCUGAAUCUGUGUAUGUGGUGAUUCCUUCCAUCAGCCAAGCUCCAUGGAGUCUCCCUCCCCGAGACUGACAUGCCUCCCUUCCGAGGUUCUGAGUCAGGAAGCCCCUUAUAGAAGCAUCUUAAAUGAUGUCAUGCCCUCAUAUGGCCACAUCUAGCCAAGAUAUGCCACUGAAUCCAUCAAAAGAAAGUCUUAUGGGAAACAUAUUACUGUCACAAAGCUCAUGCAUUUUACUGUAUUAGUGUAAGAGAA